GAAGACUGAAGCAGGACUGACUUCAGAUCAGAAGAUGGAGGAAGAGGAGGACAGAGCAGAGUCUCUAGUCUCCGGUCGUCUGUCUAUGAAGAGUGAUCGGUCCAUGUCGAUUCCUCCAGCCUUGAGUGAUGAACCUGGACCCUCAGAGUCAAAAGAGAAGAAGAGGAGUCAUGCUUCUGUGGAGGAGCUGAUGUCCAUAUUCAGAAAAAGACCUCGACUGCAGACGAGUCAGACCAGCACUGUCCAAAGUAAGACUGUAGAUGUGUCUGCUGAUGUCUUCAUGUCUGUAAACUUGUUGUUUUAAUAUCCUGACUAUUGUUGUGACAACUGUUUAAGAUCUUCUCCAUCAUACAUAUCUGCUCUGCAUCACUUGUACUUUGUUCUCCUUUGAGAGAAAAUCUGAACCCAGAAGAAAUAAUGUUAUAUUUGUAUGUUUUGUUUUUAUGAUAGCACUCCGUCUUUGCAUCAACCAAUCAGAAUGAUGUUUGUUCUCCAUCUGCAUAGAUGAAGAUGGAGAACUAUUAA